CUUGGCUUAAAUCUCCUUGAAAACCAUGUACUAGCUUUAUUAAGAUAUGUAGAUACUCAGGAAGCCCAAGUCACACCCUUAAGGCAGUUCAGAUGGACACUACAAAUUGUGCUCAUUUAUCCGCCAGGACUGCCGAAGCACUUAGCUCCUGCUGACCAGAGGAGUAUGCCCAUUGUCUUAUCAUGUAGUUUCUGCAGGUAUACAAGUCUGUGAGUUGCUGUCCUUUCAGGACCACUGGAUUCAACCUUUCAAGAUCUCCCUGCAUCCAUCUGCCAUGCUGACUGCCCCUGAAGCUGCAGAGCAAUCCAGGAAGCAAAGUGAGCACAUUUCACCUCAACUCCUACAAAGCCAGGGCAAGGGAACACCAAGCAGCAGGACCUGGCCCAGCAGAGCCACCAAGUUACAGCCCACUGAGCUCCAAUAGCUACACAUGGAAUGGAUGGCAUCAAGUACCAGACACCAACUGCACAUCAAAAACUAGGCCUUCGUUUAGCAAGGAGAGCUAAAAAGGACCUCAAGCAACUGGAUGCACUGACCAGAGGAAAGCACAGGGUAACAAAGGAGCUACAGAGGCAAACCAAGGAAUCUCUCCAAGGAAGCCUGGAACAAAUUCAAAAGGGAGGAAAGCAAAUUAAUCAAAGACAUAACAAAGAACUAGAUUUCAU
rnacentral:lncRNA from 1 species